AUGAUAGAGCCAGUUAUCUGGACAACUGCCAUUGUUUCAUAAUGCCAUUUUGACUCUUCUAAAGCCCUUAUUACAAUUUAGAUGCGGUUGUUUGGCUGGGACAUGAUGGGUUUCCUGUGUUCUUAGUAAAUUCAUUUAUUCAAAAGUAUAAUAGUUGGUGAAAGUUUUAACCGCUUCAGAUGGAGUUCAUUUGGUAAGAUCAGCGAGUUGAAGAUAUCAUACUCAUGCCUCAAUCUCCUACUCGUAUUUCCAUUUGUGUGUGACAAGCAAGUAUAUUUUUCUACAAAAGAAAAUCGAGAGUGCUCAAAUUCUUAUAUGCAUUUUAUAAUACUUGCCAAUAAUACUGCUUUUCAUUUCCUGAAUGAA